UACGUAGGUGGCGAGCGUUGUCCGGAUUUACUGGGCGUAAAGGGAGCGUAGGCGGAUUUUUAAGUGAGAUGUGAAAUACUCGGGCUCAACUUGAGUGCUGCAUUUCAAACUGGAAGUCUAGAGUGCAGGAGAGGAGAAUGGAAUUCCUAGUGUAGCGGUGAAAUGCGUAGAGAUUAGGAAGAACACCAGUGGCGGAGGCGAUUCUCUGGACUGUAACUGACGCUGAGGCUCGAAAGCGUGGGGAGCAAACAGG
rnacentral:rRNA from 1 species